AAUCUCAAUAACACUAAACCAGGACCCCGAGAUAACCGCCAAAAAACCCAGAAACUACCUGCUCAGAUUCAUAGGGCAUACCUAACAAAAUGAAGGUGUUUGCCAAACCCUUAACACAUAUUUGAAUUGGUCGAUGCCACUGGCUCCACUUUUUUGCAUUUCUAUCAUAAUAGGAAUUAUUAUCAAGUAAUUUAUUCAGGUUGAUAGUAGUUUCUUUCGUAACGUGUUAAGUGCAUAAACCAAAAGUUAUAUUAAGUAUUAGAACAUAAUGAGUCCUUAAUGUAAAAGAACAAACCUCUGCCAGUUUAUUCAUAUCGAAGAAACGUUCAUUCGAUCCAAUGCUCCUAAUAACAUCACGAGCGUCUCUCUCCAAGGAUUUUCUGAGAAAAUAAAAUAAAAUAAAAUUAAACAUCAUUUCUUUGGGCCUUGAGAUAUUCUUCAUUAAACCUAAAGUAUGCAGUUACACACAUUUUCCCUAACACAUUCUGUCAUAGUGAUAGGAGCCAAGUUACAUGCAGAUGUAACAUGUAACAGAAGGACUCGUGGCCUGUAAAAUCUCAGUGCAAAAUAAUUAUGCCAAUAUGGUAUUAACAUUCUGUUGGUUCUUUUAUUGAAAGCAUCAUGCACAUAAAGAAAUUGGAGAAUAUCAGAUACUAGACAAGUGUGUAUCAUCCGAAAGUGUCUGCAGAACAUAAACGGUGCAUUAAGAGUCCCUAAACAUGUCUCAGAUACCCACUAUUUAAAAUCACUAGACUAGAUAAAAAUUUUGUAUGUGUUCGUCAUACCUUAUAGAGAACUAAUGGCUUGCUAGUUUUGAACUUAUAUUUCAAAAUUUUUGAUCAAAUAACUUCAGUUGAAACAAAAUCCGUCGUCUUUUUCUAAAAAUAUAACAGAAAAAAGUUUAUUUUGCAUUAUAUCUUUAGUCGAAUUGGAAAAUUAGAGAAUACUUACAUGUAACUCAUAUUAAAUGUACAACUUCUCAAAGUUCUCCCCGGAGCACUUAGCCAAACCAGGAACUUUAGAAGGUGAAAAAAGAGACCAAUACUGAUUACAUUUGUACCUCUUCAUAAAGAGGUCCGGGAUCCAAAGUAAAAUUUCCACUUCCUGAAGAUGAAUGAAUGCAUUGUAAAAAGUUUGAAAAAAUCAGAUGAGAAUCUGCUUUUAAAUAUUAGAUGUGAUAAACCCUUCUACCAAGGAACUUAAAGUUAUUAACAGAUGAAUCACCAGCACCAAGCACCAAGCCAAAAGUAAAGAAAUUUUUGCAUCCAAAUCCUUAUCCAAAUCCAAAUGCAAAUCACAUCUAAUAUUUAAAAGCAGAUUCUCAUCUGAGUUUUUCAAACUCUUUACAAUGCAUUCACUCAUCUUCAGGGAGUGGAAAUUUUACUUUGGAUCCCGGACCUCUUUAUGAAGAGGUACAAAUGCAAUCAGUACUGGUCUCUUUUUUCACCUUUUGAAGUUCCUGGUUUGGCUGAGUGCUCCGGGGAGAACUUUGAGAAAUUGUACAUUUAAUAUGAGCUAUAUGUAAGUAUUCUCUAAUUUUUCAAUUUGACUAAAGAUAUGCAAAAUAAACUUUUUCUGUUAUAUUUUUAGAAAAAGACGACGGAUUUUGUUUCAGCUGAAGUUAUUUUGCCAAAAAUUUUGAAAUAUCAGUUCAAAACUAGCAAGCCAUUAGUUCUCUAUAAGGCAUGACGAACACAUACAAAUUUUUUAUCUAGUCUAGUGAUUUUAAAUAGUGGGUAUCAGAGACAUGUUUAGGGACUCUUAAUGCACCGUUUAUGUUCUGCAGACACUUUCGGACGAUACACACUUGUCCAGUAUCUGAUAUUCUCCAAUUUCUUUAUGUGCAUAAUGCUUUCAAUAAAAGAAGUAACCAACAGAAUGUUAAUACCAUAUUGGCAUCAUUAUUUUGCACUGAGAUUUUACAGACCACAAGUCCUUCUGUUACAUGUUACAUCUGCAUGUAACUUGGCUCCUAUCACCUUGACAGAAUGUGUUAGGGAAAAUGUGUGUAACUGUAUACUUAAGGUUUAAUGAAGAAUAUCUCAAGGCCCAAAGAAAUGAUGUUUAAUUUUAUUUUAUUUUCUCAGAAAAUCCUUAGAGAGAUGCUCAUGUGAUGUUAUUGGGAGCAUUGGAUCGAAUGAACAUUUCUUCGAUAUGAAUAAACUGGCAGAGGUUUGUUCUUUUACAUUAAGGACUCGUUAUGGUCUAAUACUAAAUAUAAUUUUUGGUUUAUGCACUUAACAGGUUACGAAAGAAACUACUAUCAACCUGAAUAAAUUACUUGAUAAUAAUUCCUAUUAUGACGGAAAUGCAAAAAAGUGGAACCAGUGGCAUCGGCCAAUUCAGAUAGGUGUCAAGGGUUUGGCAGACACCUUCAUUUUGUUAGGUAUGCCCUAUGAAUCUGAGCAGGUAGUUUCUGGGUUUUUUGGCGGUUAUCUCGGGGUCCUGGUUUAGUGUUAUUGAGAUCUUUCUAAGUUGUUUAUUGUCUAUACAGGUCCGCGUUCUGAAUAUGAACAUCUUUGAAGUGUUAUAUUACUCUGCUCUUGGAGCUUGUUCUGUAAUUGCAGAAAAAAGAGCAAGUAUUGUUCAUUUGAGGAAAGUUCUAUGA